GGCCUUUUUGUCUUAAAAUUGUGGUCCAUUAAUUUUGAUAAAUGCCUGAAAUCACAAAUAAAUUCACAACAAUCCAUUGCCCAAAGUCUUUUACUUCCACGACAUUUCAUUUCAAAAAUCAGAACUGGAGUCUAGACACCAUCGGUAACCUCGAAACCCUAUUCUUCCAAGUUCUAUCCCACUCCAACUCUGCGAUUCCCGGUGUUCUCCUACCCGCCCCGCCCGCCAGUCACGGACUGUCGCCUCCCGCCCCAGCCUGCCGGUAAAUAGUUCUAUUUGAUUCAUCUUCUUAAAUGAUAAAAAAUGAAUCUUUUGCAUUUUAGGGUUUUAAGAGAUUGAUUUUAGUUAUAAUUUGAUUUAUUUAAUUUAGGAAAUUAGAUUAAUUGCAAUUGGAUCUUGGGUUUUAAACAUGUGGAUAGUGGUCAGUGGACUAGUUGCCUGUGGUUAGGUUUUCAGAUUCACAUUUGUAUAUUUUGAAUUUCUCUAUUAUUUGCGUUUGUUUUUCUCUGUUAUUUGACUGUGGUAAGGUUUUAGUGCAUUUAGAUAUAAAUUGAAGAAUUUUAAAUAUUAAUAAAGGACCUUGGUAAUAUGGCCCUUUGACCGUCGAAAGUCAACGAUCAACGGCCGCCUUAGCUGACCUCAAGUCCUGAAUCCGCCACCGUUCGUAAUACAACAUGACUGCAAAAAUUUACGUCCCAUCUUUCACUUUCAUUAUGUACUGCAUAAGUAUCACUGGUUUUUCAAUGAACUAUGUUUUUAAUCACUGAUUUUCACUUUUUCUCGGAAGAGGAAUCAGAUUUUUGAUCCAUUUGUAUACCUAUAUUUGUCUUAAUUUAGAGAAAAAAAAGUGUUGGAAUUUUAUAUUGGCUAUGUUUAUGAGUCAGCAGUAGGGGCCCCUUUGAUUGCAACCCAUCUGUCGCAUAGAGCCAACACAAAUCGUGCAGGUUUGAAGAUCCAUGAAACCCAUCUUGCUGGCUUGUUUCAUGAUACAAUAAACUGGGCAUAUUUUACUGCGAUUUAAGUGAAAAAUUAAGAAAUUUUCUUCUGGGCUAGAGUCGAAGAUUGUUAGUGUUGACUAAAAGAUGGUAUUUUAUUCAGAUAUGGUGGCUUCAUCUUUAAAUUCAAUGAGAGGCUAACUUUUGUUCGGUUCCUAUAAAGAGGUACUUAUCACCGUAGAGGUAAGAAUUUUAUUUAUUUAUUGAAGAAUAAUGUUUGAUUUAAGGUUUAUGGACAAUUGUUUAUAUUCAAAUUUUAGCAAGAAUUGAAGAUUAUUGAUAAGGUAUUUGAGGUAUUAACCUGUAGUACUGCAAAGAAUAAUGUAUAUGGGAAGAAUGGGGUUGAAAUAGAAAAAAUAUGAAAUGGUUUGUAAAUUAAAGCUUCAAUCUUUGAAUUUAUUCUGUUUAUAUGAGGCCAAUCACUUGAUUUAAGUGUAUGAGGGUUGAUUUCUCCAUCUUUAAGCAAUUUUAAGCAAUUUUUGAGCAAUUGUAAUACAAAGGUGCUAUUUUUGAAAUUCUGUCCAGAAAGUACUAUUUCUAUUGGUGGUUUUGCAGACAGUUUUCCAUAUAUAGAAACUGGUGCCAGAUUUAAGUAAUCCAAAAUUUUAGUGCUGUUUUUGUUAAAUCUUCAUUUUUUUUCUUAGAUGUUAAAAGGUUUGAAUGAAGUUAAUUGAAAAAAAUUGAGGCAUAGGUAUUGGAUUAAAUUAGGUAUAUGGAUUGUGUAAGGUAGUGACUUCUGGUUUGAUCAUGUGUGGUGAUUAGCCAGUGAAAAAUUAAAGAGAAGACAAGUUAAGGGGGAUGGAGAUGCUAGAAUAAAUGUAGAAGUUGACGAAUUAAGUGGUGGGUUAGUAUUAGUUUACCGGAUUGGUUUUAAUUUGAGUAAUUUAUCAUUAUUUUAGGCGAUGACAUGAAAGUUUGGAAAAGUCUGUCAACUUAACGAGAUUGCUUUCUAUAGCAUUGUUUGGUUGAUCAUUUUACCGAGUAAUCUUUCUCAUUUUUCCCUUGACUGAGAAGAAAUGUAGCUAACAGCAGAAAAAGAGGAUUAACCUUGUACAUAAAAUCGUUUAAAAUAAAUAGGACUGAACGUAGACAACUAAACAGGAAAACCUCCAUUCAAAAAUAAGAAGAAAACAAUAAAAAUAUAUUGUUAAAAAUAAUUGUAAGUAUGGUUUAAUUCCACUUGCUUUACAAAUUGAACUCGAAAAAAUUGAAGGAAAAUAUAAGCCUCUCAAAUAGAAUACAAAAAACCAAUUAGAUCUAAACAAAUAAUGAGUGGGCAAUUAUUUAUUUUUUUAUUUUUUGGUUCAGUGAACAAUUAGUAACCUAGGAAUAAAUUUAAUGAGUGUUCAUUUAAUUAACUUAAUAAUUUAAUGUCGUUAAGGUGCGACGUCUGAUUUUUGUUGAUCACAUGGUACUUUCCAUCAAGUCGAGUACCUGGUUUCACUCUAGUGAUGAAUAGAUAACCAUUUGAAUUGAUGAGUUAAUAACAGUGAGCAGGUAGUAACUUAUGCCUAGGGUAAAUUUAAUGAGCAUUCAUUUAAUUAACUCGUUUUUACUAUUGCUAUUUUAACUAUCAAUGAGACCAUUUUCCCCAUCGUGUCACUAUUUUUGAUGUCAAACCGUCUCAUCUGGUCCGAUAUGAAAACAUAUGAAAAACUGAUGAAAUAGCUUAUUGGCUUCUUUCUUGAGAUAAGUUGAGUCUAUCUAUCCAUCAUCGAGUAUCUCUAGCUCUAAAUAUCGAAGAUUGGAAGGUAACCAAUCUAUUGACUUCUGCCAUUUGAGUUAUUAUUUCAAAUUUCUGUGCAUAAUCUCAAGUUGUAAUGUAAAACUUAAUUUUAGACAUAUUAGCAUCACAUGAAAUUUUUAUUAAUUUGGCCAAUUCAAGUCAUUGAAGAUGAAUUAUUUUAAGUAUAAUAGGAACAGAGUUGUAUAUUUUAAAAGCUGGGGACUAAGUUGGCACGAGAUCAAUAGAUCAAGAACCAGUGCUGCGAUUUUAGGAAACCCGGAGUUCCAAAUAAUAGGGUCUGUGUGUGUGUGUGCACCGACCAGUUGAAAGCAGCAGACAAGGAGUGAAGGAGGCAGAGAGUAAUGAACGUAAUCAUCCUGACAAAGACGUCAAACUUAGCCCAGACACAGCUGCCAGCCCUCUUUUUCAACUAUAUUUUCCAACAUUCUCGAGGUGUUUUUCCCUAUAUUUUGCUGAAUUAUCAGUCUUUUUU
rnacentral:lncRNA from 1 species